GUGAGGAAUAUUGCGCAAUGGAGGCAACUCUGACGCAGCCAUGCCGCGUGCAGGAAGACGGUCCUAUGGAUUGUAAACUGCUUUUAUACGGGAAUAACCUUUCGCACGUGUGCGGAACUGAAUGUACCGUAAGAAUAAGGAUCGGCUAACUCCGUGCCAGCAGCCGCGGUAAUACGGAGGAUCCAAGCGUUAUCCGGAUUUAUUGGGUUUAAAGGGUGCGUAGGCGGAAUUGUAAGUCAGUGGUGAAAUCUUGCAGCUUAACUGUAAAAUUGCCAUUGAUACUGCUAUUCUUGAGUAUAGUUGAGGUAGGCGGAAUGUGUAAUGUAGCGGUGAAAUGCUUAGAUAUUACACAGAACACCGAUUGCGUAGGCAGCUUACUAAGCUAUAACUGACGCUGAGGCACGAAAGCGUGGGGAUCGAACAGGAUUAGAAACCCCAGUAGUCC
rnacentral:rRNA from 1 species